UAUUGGACAAUGGGCGCAAGCCUGAUCCAGCCAUGCCGCGUGAGUGAUGAAGGCCUUAGGGUUGUAAAGCUCUUUUAGCGGAGACGAUAAUGACGGUAUCCGCAGAAAAAGCCCCGGCCAACUUCGUGCCAGCAGCCGCGGUAAUACGAAGGGGGCUAGCGUUGCUCGGAAUCACUGGGCGUAAAGCGCACGUAGGUGGGUCGUUAAGUCGGGGGUGAAAUCCCGGAGCUCAACUCCGGAACUGCCUUCGAUACUGGCGACCUUCGAGUCCGGGAGAGGUGAGUGGAACUGCGAGUGUAGAGGUGAAAUUCGUAGAUAUUCGCAAGAACACCAGUGGCGAAGGCGGCUCACUGGAGCCAAGUACUGACACUGAGGUGCGAAG
rnacentral:rRNA from 1 species